rnacentral:rRNA from 1 species
GAUGAACGCUGGCGGCGUGCCUAAUACAUGCAAGUCGAGCGAACAGACGAGGAGCUUGCUCCUCUGACGUUAGCGGCGGACGGGUGAGUAACACGUGGAUAACCUACCUAUAAUACUGGGAUAACUUCGGGAAACCGGAGCUAAUACCGGAUAAUAUAUUGAACCGCAUGGUUCAAUAGUGAAAGACGGUUUUGCUGUCACUUAUAGAUGGAUCCGCGCCGCAUUAGCUAGUUGGUAAGGUAACGGCUUACCAAGGCAACGAUGCGUAGCCGACCUGAGAGGGUGAUCGGCCACACUGGAACUGAGACACGGUCCAGAAUCCUACGGGAGGAAGCAGUAGGGAAUCUUACGCAAUGGGCGAAAGCUUGACGGAGCAACGCCGCGUGAGUGAUGAAGGUCUUCGGAUCGUAAAACUCUGUUAUUAGGGAAGAACAAAUGUGUAAGUAACUAUGCACGUCUUGACGGUACCUAAUCAGAAAGCCACGGCUAACUACGUG